rnacentral:rRNA from 1 species
CCUACGGGGGGCUGCAGUGGGGAAUAUUGGACAAUGGGGGCAACCCUGAUCCAGCCAUGCCGCGUGUGUGAAGAAGGCCCUCGGGUUGUAAAGCACUUUCAGUGAGGAAGAACGCCUGGUGGUUAAUACCCAUCAGGAAAGACAUCACUCACAGAAGAAGCACCGGCUAACUCCGUGCCAGCAGCCGCGGUAAUACGGGGGGUGCGAGCGUUAAUCGGAAUUACUGGGCGUAAAGCGCGCGUAGGUGGCUUGAUAAGCCGGUUGUGAAAGCCCCGGGCUCAACCUGGGAACGGCAUCCGGAACUGUCAAGCUAGAGUGCAGGAGAGGAAGGUAGAAUUCCCGGUGUAGCGGUGAAAUGCGUAGAGAUCGGGAGGAAUACCAGUGGCGAAGGCGGCCUUCUGGACUGACACUGACACUGAGGUGCGAAAGCGUGGGUAGCAAACAGGAUUAGAUACCCUAGUAGUC